UGUGUGUUCUAGAUGAUGAUGAAUGAGACGGCCCAGCAGAAAGGAGAACCCGCCUGUGAUCAGAACACUGCAGGACAUGUUACGAGCUCACGUCUGGCAUUCCACCCCACCGAACAGAUUCUGGCGUCGGGGUAACGUGACUACAUCCUCAAACUGUUUAACACUCACAAGCACUUUGCCAAGAGGGGCGUCAAACACAUACUGGUCUGUAGGGACAGUUAGGGCCUUCAAACACAUACUGGUCUGUAGGGACAGUUAGGGCCUUCAAACACAUACUGGUCAGUAGGGACAGCCUGGGCCGUCAAACACAUACAGGUUAAAAGGAUAGACCUACACAGAUCGUGUCAUGUCACUAACAGUGAUGUGUGUUUCCUCCUCACAGGAAGCAGAGAUGGCUGCGGUCCAUUUUCCUUCCACCCGUCAGAUACGUUUUCUGUAGGUGGGGACGCAGAAUCCCAUCCUCCUGCCUCGAUGUGUGUGUCUCUUGAUGUGGGUGUCUCUCUCUUGGUGUGUGUCCUCUCUUGGUGUUGUCUCUCUCUUGUGUGCGUCUCUUCUCUGGUGUGUGUGUCUCUCUCUUGGUGUGUGUGGUGUCUCUCUCUUUUGGUGUGUGUCUGUUCAUGUGUCUGUCUUGGUGUGUGUGUUUCUCUCUUUAGUGGUGUGGUGUGUCUUCUCUCUCUUGGUGUAAACAGAGAUCUGUUUAUUUAUGAGGUGUGGUCCUGUCUACAGAGAUCUGUUUAUAUGAGGUGUGGUCCUGUCUACAGAGAUCUGUUUAUUAUUUAGGUGUUGUCCUGUCUACAGAGAUCUGUUUAUAUGAGGUGUGGUCUGUCUACAGAGAUCUGUUUAUUAUGAGGUGUGGUCCUGUCUACAGAGACCUGUUUAUUAUGAGGUUGGUCCUGUCUACAGAGAUCUGUUUAUUAUUGAGGUGUGGUCCUGUCUAUAGAGAUCUGUUUUAUUAUGAGGUGUGGUCCUGUCUAACGAGAUCUGUUUAUUAUGAGGUGUGGUCCUGUCUAUAGAGAUCUGUUU
rnacentral:lncRNA from 1 species